rnacentral:lncRNA from 1 species
UUCGCAUAUCCUUGAAGUGUCUGGGGUGGGAAAAGAUGCUGGGUGGAGUUUAUGGCAAAUCCCAAGAGGAAAGUCACAACAUAGAUACGAGAGUUCUGGGGUCAGGCGGGGCCAUCUGCAGCAGAUAAUUGUACUCUGUUUGAAAAAGCAGCUCCUGGGACGCUAUGGGGUCCCGGCAGAGACAGAGCUUCUGACGAGGGACGCGAGGUGAUGGUGCUGCCCAGAAGUGACCAUCAUGAGGCCUGAGACCCAGUAGGUCCUGAGAUGGGGUCAGAGGGUGCAUGUUGGCCACAUGCAGGUGGCUCG